rnacentral:lncRNA from 10 species
CUGCCGGCCAGGGCUGCCCGCACGCGCGCCUUACUAGCAGUGGUUGCGAGAUCGGAGAAGGGGAAGGAGAAAUGAGGCCGGCGACGGAAGGAUAAGUGUAGUCACAGGCUCGGCUUCACGUGAAGGGCAAGGCGGUGUACAUGUUCGCUGAAGGCUAGCCUCAGGAUUCAGUCAGGCGUUAGGAAGGACAAUCGCGGGAUACUAACGAGAGGUCCUCAGAGCAAAGUUGAAGGCGAGCCGCUAUCAUCUGCUGUUCUCUGCCGCAGAGAGGACUGGAGGCUCACAGCUGGAGGAAUUUGCCUUGGGAUGAAUCAUGCCUUGAGUCUCACCUAUAUCUGAUUUAGAUGAGACUUUGGACUUCAGGCUUUUGAGUUGAUGCUGGAUUGAAUGACGGUGCCAUGCUCUUGGACUUACCAACCUCCAGAACUGUGAGCUGAAUAAACGUCUUUUCUUUAAACAUUACCCAGUGUGUGGUAUUCUAUUAUGGCAGCAGAAAAU